rnacentral:rRNA from 1 species
UACGUAGGGGCCUAGCGUUGUCCGGAUUUAUUGGGCGUAAAGAGCUCGUAGGCGGCUUGUCGCGUCGGCUGUGAAAACCUGGGGCUCAACCCCGGACUUGCAGUGGGUACGGGCAGACUAGAGUGUGGUAGGGGAGACUGGAAUUCCUGGUGUAGCGGUGAAAUGCGCAGAUAUCAGGAGGAACACCGAUGGCGAAGGCAGGUCUCUGGGCCACUACUGACGCUGAGAAGCGAAAGCAUGGGGAGCGAACAGG